AGGACGAACGCUGGCGGCGUGCUUAACACAUGCAAGUCGAACGGAGAAUAGAAGGAAGCUUGCGAAUUCUAUUCUUAGUGGCGGACGGGUGAGUAACGCGUGGGUAACCAACCCAUAAUACCGGGACAACCCUGGGAAACUGGGGCUAAUACCGGAUACGUUCUUCUUGGGGCAUCCUGGGGAGAAGAAAGGUGGCCUCUGAAUAUGCUGCCGAUUAUGGACGGACCCGCGUCUGAUUAGCUAGUUGGUGGGGUAACGGCCUACCAAGGCGACGAUCAGUAGCCGGCCUGAGAGGGUGGUCGGCCACACUGGGACUGAGACACGGCCCAGACUCCUACGGGAGGCAGCAGUGGGGAAUAUUGCGCAAUGGGCGAAAGCCUGACGCAGCAACGCCGCGUGAGUGAGGAAGGCCUUCGGGUUGUAAAGCUCUGUCUUCUUGGACGAAACCUAAUUGGUUAAUAGCCAAUUAGAUGACGGUACAAGAGGAGGAAGCCCCGGCUAACUACGUG
rnacentral:rRNA from 1 species